AGCCUUCCUCUUACAGAAAAUUUUUCCAUGCAGACUGAUAUGACCAGAAGACA
rnacentral:other from 12 species